rnacentral:rRNA from 1 species
AGAGUUUGAUCCUGGCUCAGAAUCAACGCUGGCGGCGCGCUUAACACAUGCAAGUCGAGCGAGAAAGGGGAGCAAUCCCUGAGUACAGCGGCGUACGGGUGAGUAACACGUGGGUGAUCUACCUUCUAGUGUGGAAUAACCCUGGGAAACCGGGGCUAAUACCGCAUAAGCCUGUGAAGGGAAAGCAGCAAUGCGCUGGAAGAGGAGCCCGCGGCCGAUUAGCUAGUUGGUGGGGUAAUGGCCCACCAAGGCGAUGAUCGGUAGCCGGCCUGAGAGGGCACACGGCCACACUGGCACUGAAACACGGGCCAGACUCCUACGGGAGGCAGCAGUGGGGAAUCUUGCACAAUGGAGGCAACUCUGAUGCAGCGACGCCGCGUGAGCGAUGAAGCCCUUCGGGGUGUAAAGCUCUUUCGGCAGGGACGAUAAUGACGGUACCUGAAGAAGAAGCUGCGGCUAACUACGUGCCAGCAGCCGCGGUAAUACGUAGGCAGCGAGCGUUGUUCGGAAUUACUGGGCGUAAAGAGUGUGUAGGCGGUGCUCUAAGUUCGGUGUGAAAUCUCCCGGCUUAACUGGGAGGGUGCGCCGGAAACUGGAGUGCUCGAGCGUGGGAGAGGAAAGCGGAAUUCCUGGUGUAGCGGUGAAAUGCGUAGAUAUCAGGAGGAACACCUGCGGUGUAGACGGCUUUCUGGACCAUUGCUGACGCUGAGACACGAAAGCGUGGGUAGCAGACAGGAUUAGAUACCCUGGUAGUCCACGCCCUAAACGAUGCAUACUUGGUGUCGGCCAUUCAGUUGGUCGGUGCCGGAGCUAACGCGUUAAGUAUGCCGCCUGGGGAGUACGGUCGCAAGGCUGAAACUCAAAGGAAUUGACGGGGGCCCGCACAAGCGGUGGAGCAUGUGGUUUAAUUCGACGCAACGCGAAGAACCUUACCUGGGCUCGAAAUGCUGCAGACCGCCGGUGGAAACACUGGUUUUCCCGCAAGGGACUGUA